CUUUCUGACAAUAAAACCCUGCAGACACCACGGUGGACGCUUCCAAAUCCAGCUGGCAUCAACAGACGUAAAGGGGAAUCUCAACAAACGCAUCUUCAGUUUUCAUCUUCAGUGACCCCACGAAGUGGCCGGCGGCGUCUUCAGGGGACCGAGGUUCUAUUCCGUCUCAUAAUCCCUUUACAAUUGUUUGUACAGAGUUUGCAGGGAACUUUUCGCCGCUCUUUAACAUCACCCAGAAGUGACCUGAGUUGCGGAAACGACCCGCAACUCAGUAAACCGGGAAGUGCUGGUGAGUUUAUGACGUUUCUGUUUGUGUGCGAAGCCACGAAGCCGAACUUUAUAGCUGUUUUUAUUUCAUGUGUUUAAAAAUGCAUCACUACUUCGAUAUAGCGUCGAAACAAUUAUUGCUUUCAUAACACACCUGCACAAUAAGCAUUUCCUGUGUUUCAUUAGACGAAUGUCUCUGCUGAUAACCAUCCCUUAUCAACACUUACCUGUAGAAUAAUCUGUUUGAUGUUUGAGCCACUUAAAGAAAAUAAUGGAAACGGCAGCUGCAAUCAAACUAGCCGCAUUUUACAGUAAUAAAUUAUCUUUAUGUGGGGAACGGGACUUCUGUUGUAACUGGAUGUGAGAAGAUGAACGAACUGAAAUAGUGUAAAAUAGUGUGACCAGCCCUGAAAUUUAGUUUGGCUUAAUAUUAAAUGUCACCGAUGUUAAUUAGAAGAAACGAUCUCGCAGUGAGAAGGGCUAAGAUCAAGUUUUAAAGGUCUAAAAGGAGUGAACUGUGUGGUUUUUACUGUUCCAUCCAGUAACUUUAGAUCACAGCACAGUGGGCUUUAUCUGCUCUAAUCUGCUGCGGCCUGUUCAUCCGACUCCUUCCUCCCCUGGGAUGGUGGACACUGGUUCCCAGGCAGGAUGAAUGUGUGGAAGAAAAGAUUCUGCAUUCCAAAAUGCGUAACGAGAGGCCUGUUAUUCCAGCUGGAGGCAGCAGAACUCGAAGGCACGCGCAAACGUUCGCGUUGGACGGCGUUAAAUCUCUGCGUCGGCGCUGAGAUGGUCUCGCCGUGUUGGAGAUGUUUUCCAGAAGAAGCUCGGCCAAGAAUUCCCAGAUUGAUUCACUCUGGGGAAACCUUUUCCCAAAGUCGUGUGAGAGAAUCCACCGUGUGGAUUGGUCAUCGACCUGCCCGGGCCGGAGCGCCGGUUAUUCUGUUUUGCUUUAAUUGUUGUAAUAAACACAGUGGAAACUGCAGGAUUUGCUUUAUCAGCUCGUGUAUUUUCAUUUUGCGGUUUGGCGUUUUCAGAAAUCUUCCUCUUGAGUUCACGCUGGGAAGAGAGGAGGCCUUUCUCCUGCUCCGUACCUGCUGGAGACCGACUUCUAACCACAUUUAUUGCUUUUCCGCUUCCAAAUUUUAG
rnacentral:lncRNA from 1 species